AACGAACGCUGGCGGCAGGCCUCAAACAUGCAAGUCUAGGGGGGUGUAGCAAUACAUCACCGGCGGACGGGUGCGUAACGCGUGGGAAUAUACCUAUCGAUUCGGAACAACUGAGGGAAACUUCAGCUAAUACCGAAUACGUCCUAACGGAGAAAGAUUUAUCGUCGAUAGAUUAGCCCGCGUUCGAUUAGCUAGUUGGUGGGGUAACGGCCCACCAAGGCAACGAUCGAUAGCUGUUCUGAGAGGAAGAUCAGCCACACUGGGACUGAGACACGGCCCAGACUCCUACGGAGGCAGCAGUAGGGAAUAUUGGUCAAUGGGGGCAACCCUGAACCAGCCAUGCCGCGUGCAGGAAUAAGGACCCUAUGGGUCGUAAACUGACUUUUGAACGGGAAGAAAUCUAUUUACGUGUUAAAUAGUUAGUACGGUACCGUU
rnacentral:rRNA from 1 species